UUCCGGUUGAUCCUGCCGGAGGCCAUUGCUAUCGGAGUCCGAUUUAGCCAUGCUAGUUGCACGAGUUUAGACUCGUAGCAUAUAGCUCAGUAACACGUGGCCAAACUACCCUACAGACCGCGAUAACCUCGGGAAACUGAGGCCAAUAGCGGAUACAACUCUCAUGCUGGAGUGCCGAGAGUUGGAAACGUUCCGGCGCUGUAGGAUGCGGCUGCGGCCGAUUAGGUAGACGGUGGGGUAACGGCCCACCGUGCCAGUAAUCGGUACGGGUGAUGAGAGUCAGAGCCCGGAGACGGAAUCUGAGACAAGAUUCCGGGCCCUACGGGGCGCAGCAGGCGCGAAACCUUUACACUGCACGGAAGUGCGAUAGGGGAAUCCCAAGUGCGAGGGCAUAUUAGCCCUCGCUUUUGUUGACUCUAAGGUGGUCAACGAAUAAGAGCUGGGCAAGACCGGUGCCAGCCGCCGCGGUAAUACCGGCAGCUCAAGUGAUGUCCCAUAUUAUUGGGCCUAAAGCGUCCGUAGCUGGCCACCCAAGUCCAUCGGGAAAUCCACCUGCCCGACGGGUGGGUGUCCGGUGGAAACUGGCUGGCUUGGAACCGGAAGGCUCAGAGAGUACGUCCGGGGUAGGAGUGAAAUCCCGUAAUCCCGGACGGACUACCGAUGGCGAAAGCACUCUGAGAAGACGGCUUCGACAGUGAGGGACGAAAGCUAGGGUCUCAAACCGGAUUAGAUACCCGGGUAGUC
rnacentral:rRNA from 1 species